rnacentral:tRNA from 1 species
GGCGCUUUGACGGAGUGGUUAACGUGAUUGACUCGAAUGACUCGCAUCUACUAGAUAUCAAUUUCCUUCGGGAGCGCAGGUUCGAAUCCUGCAGGCGUCG